rnacentral:tRNA from 1 species
GGCGAUCGUAGCUCAGUUGGUUAGAGCGCCGGUUUGUGGUACCGGAGGUCGCGGGUUCGGAUCCCGUCGAUCGCCCCAU